rnacentral:tRNA from 1 species
CGGGACGUGGCUUAGCCAGGCUAAAGCGCCAGUCUGGGGGACUGGAGAACGCGGGUUCAAAUCCCGCCGUCCCGA